UUUGGUGAUCAGAAUAGUGAAGUGGUAUAUUCUGGGUGUUUAUAUCUAGUUUCAUACCUUCUCCAGACUCUCUUCAAGGAAGCCUGUUCUUUUCAGAAGCAUCGUUUGCAUGGACUCUUUAAUAGAUGAGAAUGAUGAUUUUUUUUUUAAUAUGGUACUAGGCAGAGCCACAAGCACCAGUCAGUUCUAAAGAGCCAACUGAAACACAAAGUUAUAAUUGCUAGCUUGUGUGAAGACAUGCUUUUCUCCUUCCAUUCUUGUUUACAGUUACCUGAACCAAUGUCACUUUCAGAUGCGCAGGACAAUGCUGACUAUAGAUUAUUUCAGAAAAUACUCAAAUUGUGUCGUUUGCCAUUUCCCUUUUGCACUACAUAAAGUACACUGGGCAUUGAAUGGCAUUCAGAAACACAGAGAGGGUAAUCAGAAGACAUACUGGCGAGCAGAGAACAUCAGUACUGAUGGAAUGCCUCAGAAGCAUUGCUGAACAACAGCUAUGUGCUACACCUUUUUCCGGAUGAUGAAGUUCCACAGUGGCAUUGUUGUUUUACAAAUGGCUUUGGAACCAACAGCAGUUAAAUAGUCACCAGCGAUUUUGGCUUUUGUUGGUGGUGCCUUUGUUCUGUUUUUAGCCCCA
rnacentral:lncRNA from 1 species